UUGAACGAACCCGUAGAUCCGAACUUGUGUUUAAAUCUGCCAUCACGAGUUCGUUUUUACAGGUACCUUCUGG
rnacentral:pre_miRNA from 14 species